rnacentral:rRNA from 2 species
GACAGAGGGUGCGAACGUUGUUCGGAAUUACUGGGCGUAAAGCGCAUGUAGGCUGUCGCGCAAGUCGGGUGUGAAAGCCCAGGGCUCAACCCUGGAAGUGCACUCGAAACUGCAUUGACUAGAAUCUCGGAGAGGGUAGCGGAAUUCUGGGUGUAGAGGUGAAAUUCGUAGAUAUCCAGAGGAACACCGGUGGCGAAGGCGGCUACCUGGACGAGUAUUGACGCUGAGAUGCGAAAGCGUGGGGAGCAAACAGG